rnacentral:rRNA from 1 species
UACGUAGGUGGCAAGCGUUGUCCGGAAUUAUUGGGCGUAAAGCGCGCGCAGGCGGUCCUUUAAGUCUGAUGUGAAAGCCCACGGCUCAACCGUGGAAGGUCAUUGGAAACUGGGGGACUUGAGUGCAGAAGAGGAAAGUGGAAUUCCAAGUGUAGCGGUGAAAUGCGUAGAGAUUUGGAGGAACACCAGUGGCGAAGGCGGCUUUCUGGUCUGUAACUGACGCUGAGGCGCGAAAGCGUGGGGAGCAAACAGG